rnacentral:rRNA from 1 species
UACGAAGGGGGCUAGCGUUGCUCGGAAUCACUGGGCGUAAAGCGCACGUAGGCGGAUUGUUAAGUCAGGGGUGAAAUCCUGGAGCUCAACUCCAGAACUGCCUUUGAUACUGGGGAUCUCGAGUCCGGAAGAGGUGAGUGGAACUCCGAGUGUAGAGGUGAAAUUCGUAGAUAUUCGGAAGAACACCAGUGGCGAAGGCGGCUCACUGGUCCGGUACUGACGCUGAGGUGCGAAAGCGUGGGGAGCAAACAGG